CACUUCCUCUCACUUCUCCUCUUUGUUUCUUUGUCUCUUUUCUCCCCUUCUUCACCAUAUUUUCUCUGCCACAAAUACACUUUCCACCGACACCACCAAUGUCUUUAUCUUCGUCGACCCUCCUUAUCACCAACCAUUCAGCCACUGAAUCUCAACAUCAAUUUUCAUGCCUUAGAUCUGAGUUCCUUCGCUAGAUAUGACCAUCUCUCCCAUUCAUACUCCCAAAUCUAUUCUUCUUGAACCUUCAAGGAAAUCUGAAGAGAUUUUAAAAGUGGGUGGUAUUGGUUCUGAAGUUGAUGAAACAGCGGUGGAAGCUUUGGCCAAGAUGAAGCGUCUCUUGUUCUUAAAGAGACUAAUAGCAAGAUCUAUCAAGACUGCUAAAGAUUAUGCUUGGUGGUGUGAAUUUUAAUGAGAUCUUAUGAAAAAUGAAAGAUUUGUAUAUAGAGAAAAAUCCCGUUGAUACCUAUUUUCAGGAAGGAUCUUAUUUAACAGUGACAACAUAACUUUGAUGAACAUGGAAAGUGAUGUUUGUCUCAUCAAGAUAUGCUCUGGCGAAGUUAUUUCUGACCACAAAUGGGAAAGUGUUGAUAAAGUAAGAAGAUUUAUGUUGAAUGAAGAUGGAGAAUUUGAAGUAAGAAGACAUGUGUUGAGUGAACCCUACAUUUCUCUAUCCGACGUUAUUAAAACUCAUUAUUCUUGUAGUGAGUAGUAGGUCAUCUGCCAUAAAAUAUCUUUUCAAAUAUAUCACAAAAGGAGUAGACAUGGAGACAAUGAAGAUAGAGAAACAACAAGCAUUGGAUCAAAAUAAAGGAGAUAGGGAAUCAGAAGAAGAGAUCAAUGAGAUAAAAAAAACUAUUUGGAGUGUCGUUAGCUCUCUGCAUGCAAAGCUACUUGGCGAAUUUUUGCGUUCAAAAUACAUGAACGAAAACCGGCAGUAACAAAACUACAGUUACACCUUCCAGGCCAGCAGAGAAUCGUUUACCCUGAAGGAAUCAGUCUAGAAUACAUUAUGUCAAAAUAUGGCAUCGAGAAAACAAUGCUUACGGAAUACUUUCAGAUGAACUUACUUUAUCUAGAAGCAAGAGAACUUACAUAUAUUCAGUUCCCUACAAAAUAAAAUACGUGUGGGAUUCAGAUGGGAAAACAUGGUCAGAAAGGAAGAAAGGAUUCAGCAUAGGAAGAAUAGUAAAUAUUCAUCCAACAGCAGGAGACUUGUAUUACUUGAGAAUGCUGCUAAUGAAAGUAAAAAGGUCGACAAGCUUUGAUGAUUUACUAACCGUUGAUAAUGUAAAACACAAAUUAUUCAAAGCGGCAUGUUAUGCAAAU